GCGAAGGGUCGUGACUGGCGCGCUCGGGUGGAAGCAACCACCGGGAAGCGACGAAGCUGCUGGCGGCGCCGUGCGCCUGGGUGCCUCCG
rnacentral:ncRNA from 16 species